rnacentral:rRNA from 1 species
GACGAACGCUGGCGGCGUGCUUAACACAUGCAAGUCGAACGGAAAGGCCCUGCUUUUGUGGGGUGCUCGAGUGGCGAACGGGUGAGUAACACGUGAGUAACCUGCCCUUGACUUUGGGAUAACUUCAGGAAACUGGGGCUAAUACCGGAUAGGAGCUCCUGCUGCAUGGUGGGGGUUGGAAAGUUUCGGCGGUUGGGGAUGGACUCGCGGCUUAUCAGCUUGUUGGUGGGGUCGUGGCUUACCAAGGCUUUGACGGGUAGCCGGCCUGAGAGGGUGACCGGCCACAUUGGGACUGAGAUACGGCCCAGCCUCCUACGGGAGGCAGCAGUGGGGAAUAUUGCACAAGGGGCGGAAGCCUGAUGCAGCAACGCCGCGUGCGGGAUGACGGCCUUCGGGUUGUAAACCGCUUUCGCCUGUGACGAAGCGUGAGUGACGGUAAUGGGUAAAGAAGCACCGGCUAACUACGUG